rnacentral:rRNA from 1 species
GGGAUGCCUUUUUAAGUUAGCGGCGGACGGGUGAGUAACACGUGGGUAACCUGCCCAUAAGACUGGGAUAACUCCGGGAAACCGGGGCUAAUACCGGAUAACAUUUUGAACUGCAUGGUUCGAAAUUGAAAGGCGGCUUCGGCUGUCACUUAUGGAUGGACCCGCGUCGCAUUAGCUAGUUGGUGAGGUAACGGCUCACCAAGGCAACGAUGCGUAGCCGACCUGAGAGGGUGAUCGGCCACACUGGGACUGAGACACGGCCCAGACUCCUACGGGAGGCAGCAGUAGGGAAUCUUCCGCAAUGGACGAAAGUCUGACGGAGCAACGCCGCGUGAGUGAUGAAGGCUUUCGGGUCGUAAAACUCUGUUGUUAGGGAAGAACAAGUGCUAGUUGAAUAAGCUGGCACCCUGACGGUACCUAACCAGAAAGCCACGGCUAAAUACGUGCCAGCAGCCGCGGUAAUAAGUAGGUGGCAAGCGUUAUCCGGAAUUAUUGGGCGUAAAGCGCGCGCAGGUGGUUUCUUAAGUCUGAUGUGAAAACCCACGGCUCAACCCUGGAGGGUCAUUGGAAAAUGGGAGACUUGAGUGCAGAAGAGGAAAGUGGAAUUCCAUGUGUAGCGGUGAAAUGCGUAGAGAUAUGGAGGAACACCAGUGGCGAAGGCGACUUUCUGGUCUGUAAAUGACACUGAGGCGCGAAAGCGUGGGGAGCAAACAGGAUUAGAUACCCUGGUAGUCCACCCCGUAAACGAUGAGUGCUAAGUGUUAGAGGGUCUCCGCCCUUUAGUGCUGAAGUUAACGCAUUAAGCACUCCCCCUGGGGAGUACGGCCGCAAGGCUGAAACUCAAAGGAAUUGACGGGGGCCCGCCCAAGCGGUGGAGCAUGUGGUUUAAUUUGAAGCAACGGGAAGAACCUUACCAGGUCUUGACAUCCUUUGAAAACCCUAGAG